rnacentral:lncRNA from 1 species
AUUAUCUACCCGGACCUUAUCAGCCAUGAUGAGCUGUUCUCCAACAUUUACAAUAUCUGGGAGAUUGCAGACUGGCUGUGCCUGGAAGUGGGACGGGGGGGUGGGGAAGAAGAUAGUCAGUAGGACAGAGGGUAACAUUGACAGAAAUGCCUCCGCAGAAGGCCCUGAGGGUGAGGGUACCGAAAGCACAUUAAUCACUUAUGUUGAUACUGUCAUGAACCAUCACUUGCAGGAAACAAACUUCAAAAAGAAGCCUACAAGAAGUACAUCAAAGAUUACAUAAAAUCAAUCAAAGGCCAACAUGAAGAACAGAGACCUAAACAGUAAAACCUUUUAUGACAGAAGCUGUAGAACAAACCAAGCACAUCUUACUAAUUUCAACAACUACCAGUUUUUUACCAGUAAAAACAUGAAUCCAGAUGGCAUAGUUGCUCUACCAUGAGGAUGGUGUGACCCUGUAUAUGAUUUUCUUUAAAGAUGGUUUAGAAAUGGAAAAAU